rnacentral:rRNA from 1 species
AUGGACUCGUUGUUGUGCAUUAAACAACAUCUAAACACAGACAUUGCUAAAGGGAAGAUGGUGGUCAGCUAUGGUCAUGCGAAGAGUAAACAACAAGACCAUAUCUCCCCUGCUGACAACCCAAGGCCCCCGGAGAGAUGGAGCACACAACCGGAGGGAUGGUACAAACUAAACGUCGAUGGUGCCUUUCUGGAAGCGGACAAGACAGGAGCUGCUGGUAUGAUUCUUCGUAAUUCCGAGGGAGAGGUGAUAUUUGCAUCUUGCCGCUAUUUGACAUCAUGUGUGAGCGCGAUGGAGGCAGAACUCGCUGCUUGUCGAGAAGGGAUUUCACUCCCACUUGAGUGGAGCACGCUACCUUUCAUCUUGGAGAUAGACUGCACCAUUGCAUUGAGCAUGCUCAAGGGCAUGGAAGUUGAUAUAUCACCAGCUGCGGCAAUCAUGGAGGAAGCAAAACAUAUGUUGAGCUUGGGACGACCACAUGAAAUAAGACAUGUUAGGAGAUGCUUGAACUGUGUUAGUCAUGCACUUGCGCAAUUAGGGAGUCAGCCUCGUGCAACUAUAAUGCUCCUGGUUGAUGAAUGA